UACGUAGGGUGCGAGCGUUAAUCGGAAUUACUGGGCGUAAAGCGUGCGUAGGCGGUUGGCAAAGUCAGCUGUGAAAGCCCCGGGCUUAACCUGGGAAUGGCGGUUGAAACUAGUCGACUCGAAUCUGGCAGAGGGGGGUGGAAUUCCGCGUGUAGCAGUGAAAUGCGUAGAGAUGCGGAGGAACACCGAUGGCGAAGGCAGCCCCCUGGGCUGACACUGACGCUCAGGCACGAAAGCGUGGGGAGCAAACAGG
rnacentral:rRNA from 1 species